AGUCUUUGAACGCAAGUUGCGCCCAAAGCCGUUCGGCUGAGGGCACGUCUGCCUGGGCGUCACGCACUAUGUUGCCCCACUCAUUCUCCCCAAACCAGUGUUGGGAAGAUGUGAUGGGUGCGGAUAUUGGCCUCCCGAGACGCCCGUCGUUUCGGCUGGCCUAAAAUCAAGCACCGCAACAAUAAAGCACCACGACACGUGGCGGAUCGAAUCGAACAAGCUCGAGAAGGCAGUGUCUCGUGCACUUUAUUGUUAGCGAGCUCAGGGACUCGAACACACAUCACUGCGACCCCAGGUCAGGCGGGGCUACCCGCUGAGUUUAAGCAUAUCAAUAAGCGGAGGAAAAGAAACUAACAAGGAUUCCCUUAGUAACGGCGAGCGAACCGGGAAAAGCCC
rnacentral:rRNA from 1 species